rnacentral:rRNA from 1 species
GACGAACGCUGGCGGCGUGCUUAAUACAUGCAAGUCGAACGGAGUUAAGGGUUUCGGCCUUUAACUUAGUGGCGAACGGGUGAGUAACGCGUGAAUAACCUGACUCAAAGAGGGGGAUAACAACGGGAAACUGUUGCUAAUACCGCAUGAGACCACAACACCGCAUGAUGAAGGGGUCAAAGAUUUAUCGCUUUGAGAGGGGUUCGCGUCCCAUUAGGUAGUUGGAGGGGUAACGGCCCACCAAGCCAACGAUGGGUAGCCGAGCUGAGAGGCUGAUCGGCCACACUGGAACUGAGACACGGUCCAGACUCCUACGGGAGGCAGCAGUAGGGAAUAUUGGGCAAUGGGCGCAAGCCUGACCCAGCAACGCCGCGUGAGGGAAGAAGGUUUUCGGAUUGUAAACCUCUGUCCUAUGUGACGAAGGAAGUGACGGUAGCAUAGGAGGAAGCCCCGGCUAACUACGUGCCAGCAGCCGCGGUAAUACGUAGGGGGCGAGCGUUGUCCGGAAUUACUGGGCGUAAAGGGUGCGUAGGCGGUUUGGUAAGUUGGAUGUGAAAUACCCGGGCUUAACUUGGGGGCUGCAUCCAAUACUGUCGGACUUGGGUGCAGGAGAGGAAAGCGGAAUUCCUAGUGUAGCGGUGAAAUGCGUAGAUAUUAGGAGGAACACCGGUGGCGAAGGCGGCUUUCUGGACUGUAACUGACGCUGAGGCACGAAAGCGUGGGGAGCAAACAAGAUUAGAUACCCUGGUAGUCCACGCCGUAAACGAU